rnacentral:rRNA from 1 species
UGAGGAAUAUUGGUCAAUGGGCGAGAGCCUGAACCAGCCAAGUAGCGUGCAGGAUGACGGCCCUAUGGGUUGUAAACUGCUUUUAUGUGGGGAUAAAGUGCGUGACGUGUCAUGCAUUGCAGGUACCACAUGAAUAAGGACCGGCUAAUUCCGUGCCAGCAGCCGCGGUAAUACGGAAGGUCCGGGCGUUAUCCGGAUUUAUUGGGUUUAAAGGGAGCGUAGGCUGUCUAUUAAGGGUGUUGUGAAAUUUACCGGCUCAACCGGUGGCUUGCAGCGCGAACUGGUCGACUUGAGUAUGCAGGAAGUAGGCGGAAUUCAUGGUGUAGCGGUGAAAUGCUUAGAUAUCAUGACGAACUCCGAUUGCGCAGGCAGCUUACUGUAGCAUAACUGACGCUGAUGCUCGAAAGUGCGGGUAUCAAACAGG